rnacentral:rRNA from 1 species
UACGGGGGGGGCAAGCGUUGUUCGGAAUUACUGGGCGUAAAGGGCUCGUAGGCGGCCAACUAAGUCCGACGUGAAAUCCCAAGGCUUAACCUUGGAACUGCGUCGGAUACUGGAUGGCUUGAAUUCGGGAGAGGGAUGCAGAAUUCCAGGUGUAGCGGUGAAAUGCGUAGAUAUCUGGAGGAAUACCGGUGGCGAAGGCGGCCCACUGGUCCGGUACUGACGCUGAGGUGCGAAAGCGUGGGGAGCAAACAGG